rnacentral:rRNA from 1 species
AUUGAACGCUGGCGGCAGGCCUAACACAUGCAAGUCGAGCGGAGCGGCGGACGGGUGAGUACUGUCUGGGAAACUGCCUGAUGGAGCGGGAUAACUACUGGAAACGGUAGCUAAUACCGCAUACCAUCAGAUGUGCCCAGAUGGGAUUAGCUGGUGGGGGGGGUAAAGGCCUACCAAGGCGACGAUCCGUAACUGGUCUGAGAGGAUGAUCAGUCACACUGGAACUGAGACACGGUCCAGACGCCUACGGGAGGCAGCAGUGGGGAAUAUUGGACAAUGGGCGAAAGCCUGAUCCAGCCAUGCCGCGUGUGUGAAGAAGGUCUUCGGAUUGUAAAGCACUUUAAGUUGGGAGGCGUUACCAACAGAAUAAGCACCGGCUAACUUCGUGCCAGCAGCCGCGGUAAUAC